rnacentral:rRNA from 1 species
UACGAAGGGGGCUAGCGUUGCUCGGAAUUACUGGGCGUAAAGGGUGCGUAGGCGGUUCGUUAAGUCUGUUGUGAAAUCCCCGGGCUCAACCUGGGAAUGGCAAUGGAUACUGGCGGGCUAGAGUGUGUCAGAGGAUGGUGGAAUUCCCGGUGUAGCGGUGAAAUGCGUAGAGAUCGGGAGGAACAUCAGUGGCGAAGGCGGCCAUCUGGGACAACACUGACGCUGAAGCACGAAAGCGUGGGGAGCAAACAGG